rnacentral:rRNA from 2 species
UGGGGAAUUUUGCGCAAUGGGGGAAACCCUGACGCAGCAACGCCGCGUGAGUGAUGAAGGCUUUCGGGUCGUAAAGCUCUGUCUAGAGGGAAGAAGUGAUAGGUGGUUAAUACCCAUUUAUUUUGACGGUACCUCUGAAGGAAGCACCGGCUAACUCCGUGCCAGCAGCCGCGGUAAUACGGAGGGUGCAAGCGUUGUUCGGAUUUAUUGGGCGUAAAGCGCGUGUAGGCGGUUUGUUGGGUCUGAUGUGAAAGCCCCGGGCUCAACCUGGGAAGUGCAUUGGAAACUGGCAGACUUGAAUACGGGAGAGGGUAGUGGAAUUCCUAGUGUAGGAGUGAAAUCCGUAGAUAUUAGGAGGAACACCGGUGGCGAAGGCGGCUACCUGGACCGAUAUUGACGCUGAGACGCGAAAGCGUGGGUAGCAAACAGGA